rnacentral:tRNA from 1 species
GCCCUGGUGGUCUAGUGGUUAAGAUUCGGCAUUAUCAUUGCCACGGCCCAGGUUCAUUUCCCGGUCAGGGAA